GACGAACGCUGGCGGCGUGCUUAACACAUGCAAGUCGAACGGUGAAGCGCCUUCCUUUUUGGUGGGUGUGGAUGAGUGGCGAACGGGUGAGUAACACGUGAGUAACCUGCCCCCUUCUUCUGGAUAACCGCAUGAAAGUGUGGCUAAUACGGGAUAUUCUGGGUCUGUCGCAUGAUGGGUCUGGGAAGGAUAUUGUUUCGGUGGGGGAUGGGCUCGCGGCCUAUCAGCUUGUUGGUGGGGUGAUGGCCUACCAAGGCGGUGACGGGUAGCCGGCCUGAGAGGGUGGACGGUCACACUGGGACUGAGACACGGCCCAGACUCCUACGGGAGGCAGCAGUGGGGAAUAUUGCACAAUGGGCGAAAGCCUGAUGCAGCGACGCCGCGUGAGGGAUGGAGGCCUUCGGGUUGUGAACCUCUUUCGCCAGUGAAGCAGGCCUGCCUCGUUUGUGGGUGGGUUGACGGUAGCUGGAUAAGAAGCGCCGGCUAACUACGUG
rnacentral:rRNA from 1 species